GUGUUAUAUAAAGGAAAAAGUUAGCACUCCUUUUGCUAAAGAUGGAAGAGAGGUUAGUUGCCUUUCAUAUACAUGCUAUGGUUAAGAGUUGCCUCUUUCUCUGAUCCACCCAAUCAAUUCCUUCU